AUGAAUAAGCCAUUAAAAAUCUAUUAUGAACACGUGCCCUUUCAUGUAGUUUUUAGUCUUUCCUCCAGCUUGAGAGAGGCUCAUGAGGAAGAAAAAAAAAAGUCAUGUUCCCUUUCACCGCCCCCCCCCCCCCCCCCCCCCCCCCCCCCCCCGCCCACCAACCCCACCCAGAGGUCAGCCCUGCCAGAUUCAUUGCGUUUGCAUCCCAUGCCUGCUAGUUACAAAUGCCGGCUACCAGAUUGUGUAAUUCUGUCCCAUCUACUGCUUUCAUCGGGGGCUCAGAGCAGGAUCAGGGCUCACUCUUACAAUUUAGAACUACCUGGAAUGGAAUUGCUUAGGAAAGAGGGAAAAGGCAUUUUUAGUCAAAAGCGAAGGAGGACAAAGUUAAACUCCACCAACAAUGGAAACUUCUUCCGGAUUCUUCCGGAGGCUGCCUGGUGCACUGGAGUGUGAUGCUUCCAGACUGCAGGAUUGCCCUCUUUACUGUCAGGUGGCUGUACAGCUGUGGAUUUUUGAGGACCGCACGAGGCUGCUGUGAGUUAAUAAUCCCAGACAAUCGCAGGCUCUCUUUUCCUCCAGGGGUGUGGCCCUUCGUUUACAGAAAGGAAGGCUGAAUCACCGAAUGGAAAACGGUGACACACAGCCCAUCUCCAGCAGAGCGGGAAAACCUUGAGACGGCAUUGUCUUAAAGGUAGACUUUGAUCCCAAACUUGAGUCCUUUUCCAUUGCGACGCUAACUCGAAGGACAGGAUCUCCAGGUCUCUGUGGAUGAUCUCCCUGUCUCUGCUUGAGAGAAAACAGGUAACAGCGAUCUGGUUCCUAUGCAAUUUAGGGAGGGCAAGGGAUCGGUUUCCAGCAUGCACAAAAGCGAGGUAAAGUGGACGAUGAUGACAAAAUGUAUGAUAAGUAACCAUCACGGCUCACUUACAGCUGUAUGUUAGGUGCUGUAGGUGCUUUGCUGGUACUCAUUCACUUCAUGCUCGCAUCAAACCCUCAAAGGGAGAUGCUGUUAUUUUUUCAUUUUUAUUUUUUUUUAACAUUUACGUAUUAUUGAGAGACCGAGAGAGACAGAGCACGAGCAGGGGAGGGGCAGAGAGAGGGGGAGACGCAGAAUCCGCAGCAGGCUCCAGGCUCCGAGCUGUCAGCCCAGAGCCCAACCAGGGGCUCAAACUCACAAUCUGAGAGACCGUGACCUGAGCCGAAGUCAGAUGCUCAACCGACUGAGCCCCCCGGGCGCCCCGGGAGAUGCUGCUACUACCCGACUUGACAGUUGAGAUAGCCAAAGUUCAGAGAGGCUAAGAAACUUGUCCAAGGCUGGUAAUGUCCUCAUCUUUGCCCUGGAGAUGAUUAGGAACGUAAGUUUUGGCAUCUACGAUCGCCGUUUUAGUUGGCCGGGCCCAUACCGGUCCAUUUGGUGGCUUUGUGCUGAUGAGCACAAAUGAUGUGCUGAUGAGAAAAAGCUCCCUCAGGGCAGGUGGGCUGAUGGCUCCCACUGGGCAAGCGGAGGAAGGACGAAGUUUGGGCAGAAACUCACUUCUCUGCCCUGGGUGUCCUUGCAUAGGGCCACCCUGUAUUCCUGCGGGGGCGCGUGGCUCCCACACAUGCUAGCUCUGCGACCACGAGCGGCACCCCCCGUGUCUUUGAGUCUCUGUUUCUUCGUUUAAAAAUCAGGAUGAUGCUACGUCACCUCAGACAGAGGCCGGUGGUGAGGGUCCGCUCUGAGUCUACCUGGCCUGUGGGAAGAACUAAGGAGGCAAAAUCAAACAUGAGAUGCUUAGAUUGCACCUUCUGUGGGAUCAUAAACUCCUUGGCAACCGGAAGGAGUCAUUUAGAGACUCGUUUUGAAAUGCCAUGGACUGUAUAUCACAGGGAAGGCUGUGGUGCUUCCUAAGAAGCAGAUCAUGUCUUCCAUUCUUAUUUUAUUUUAUUUUAUUUUAUUUUAUUUUAUUUUAUUUUAUUUUAUUUUUUAUUUUUUAAAAUUGACAUCCAAAUUAGUUAGCAUCGAGUGCAACAAUGAUUUCAGGAGUAGAUUCCUUAGUGCCCCUGAUCCAUUGGGCCCAUCCCCCCUCCCACGACCCCUCCAGUAACCCUCAGUCUGUUUUCCGUAUUUAAGAAUCUCUUCUGUUUUGUCCCCCGCCCUGUUUUUAUAUUAUUUUUGCUUCCUUUCCCUUACGUUCCUCUGUUUUGGCUCUUAAAGUCCUCAUAUGAGUGAAGUCAUAUGAUUUUUGUCUUUCUCUGACUAAUUUCACUUAGCAUAAUACCCUCCAGGUUCAUCCAUGUGGUUGCAAAUGGCAACAUUUCAUUCUUUUUGAUUGCCGAGUAAUACUCCAUUGCAUAUAUAUCCCACAUGUUCUUUACCCAUUCAUCCAUCGAUGGACACGUGGGCUCUUUCCAUACUUUGGCUACUGUUGAUCGUGCUGCUAUAAACAUGGGGGUGCAUGUGUCUCUUCGAAACAGCACACCUGUAUCCCUCGGAUAAAUGCCUAGUAGUGCAAUUGCUGGGUCGUAGGGCAGUUCUAUUUUUAGUUUUUUGAGGAACCUCCAGACUGUUUUCCAGAGGGGCUGCACCAGUUUGCAUUCCCACAUGUCUUCCACUCUUACCAUUGAAAGAUGUUGGUGCUUGAAUCACUUGUACAAUUAAGCUACGUUCCCAGGAAACUGCCUUCCUUGGAUUGCUGCCUUGAAUGCACUAUAUUGAAGUAACAGGGUCAAUAACACUAAAUUUAGGAAUUGUCUUCAGAACGCCUUUCAGUGAGUCUGAAUCCUUACAGAUAUUAUGUGGGGUGCUACACGCGGGAGUGUGGGAGUAUCAGACGGCCCCCUGUACGUUGCAGAGCCGCCCCUUAAUAGCUGUGGGAUUUUGAACACAUUUCUUUUUUUUUUAAUUUUUUUUAAUGUGUAUUUAUUUUUGAGAGACAGACAGACAGACAGAGCACGAGCAGGGGAGGGGCAGAGAGAGGGGGAGACACAGAAUCCGAAGCAGGCUCCAGGCUCCGAGCUGUCAGCGCAGAGCCCGACUCGGGGCUCAAACUCACGAACCGCGAGAUCAUAAGCCGAAGUCGGACGCUCAACCAGCUGAGCCACCCAGGCAACCUUGGACACAUUUCUUAGCCAUGCUCUGUGUUAGUUUCCUCUUCUGUGAAAUGGGGAUAAUCACAGCCUCUCUCAUAGACCUAUGAGGGGUAAAUGAGAAAAAUUCAUCUAAGAUGUGUCACAUCAUCCGUGGCAAAUAGUAAGUGCUCAAAAAAUGUUAGCUGGAGGGGGCGCCUGGCUGGCUCAGCCGGUGGAACAUGCGACUCUUUUUAAUUUUAUCUGAAGUUCAUUUAUUUAUUUUGGGAGAGAGAGAGAGAGCACGAGAAGGGCAGAGAGAGAGGGGGAGAGAGAGAGAAUCCCAAGCACGGUGACAAUGCAGAACCCGAUAUGGGACUCAAACCCACAAACCAUGAGAUCACGGCCUGAGUCAGAAUCACGAGUUGGUUGCUUAACCUACUGAGCCACCCUGCACCCUUGCUUUAUAGAAUAUUUGUACCGGCUCCCGAAGGUGGGUUCUAAUUAGCUUAAACUAUUUAGAGUGGUCCAUUUCUUCUUAUCAGUGAUUAAUUUAUGUGAUAUAUGACAUCAUUGAUAUAUGACAUCAUUGAUAUAUGACAUCAUUUUGGGCAAUGAGAUUUGAGGGAAGUGUGACAAGGGUCUCAGGGAAAAAGUACUUUCUUCCUAAAGAGAGGCUCAAGAAACUGAAGAAAAAAAGAGUAAUUUCUCUGCCUCUGGAUGUGGUUGUCUGAAGACGUGAUGGCUGGAGCCAUGCAACAGUAUUGCGAACAUGAGGGGGGCUGGCUUGGUAAGACCAGGCCCAUCUGCUGGGGUUUGUAGAACAGAAAGAUGGUAGGGGCGCCUGGGUGGCUCAGUCGGUUGAGUGUCUGACUGUGGCUCAGGUCAUGAUCUCCCGGUUCCUGAGUUCGAGCCCCGCAUCGGGCUCUGGGCUGACAGCUCGGAGCCUGGAGCCUGCUUCGGAUUCUGUGUCUCCCUCUCUCUCUGCCCCUCCCAUGCUCGCACUCUGUCUCUCUCUCUUUCUCUCAAAAAUAAAUAAACAUUAAAAAAAUUUUUUUAAUAAAAA
rnacentral:lncRNA from 1 species